ACGGGAGGCAGCAGUGGGGAAUAUUGGGCAAUGGGCGAAAGCCUGACCCAGCAACGCCGCGUGAAGGAAGAAGGCCUUCGGGUUGUAAACUUCUUUUAAGAGGGACGAAUAAAAUGACGGUACCUCUUGAAUAAGCCACGGCUAACUACGUGCCAGCAGCCGCGGUAAUACGUAGGUGGCGAGCGUUGUCCGGAUUUACUGGGUGUAAAGGGCGCGCAGGCGGGAAAGCAAGUCAGAUGUGAAAUCCAUGGGCUCAACCCAUGAACUGCAUUUGAAACUGUUUUUCUUGAGUGUCGGAGAGGUUGACGGAAUUCCUAGUGUAGCGGUGAAAUGCGUAGAUAUUAGGAGGAACACCAGUGGCGAAGGCGGUCAACUGGACGAUAACUGACGCUGAGGCGCGAAAGCGUGGGGAGCAAACAGGAUUAGAUACCCUGGUA
rnacentral:rRNA from 1 species